CUGAGAGGGGAUGCUGGGGUGUUUCCAACCCUCCCUGCUACAAGGAGCAUCCCAUGAGAGCGUCUUCUCUAUUGAAAGGAAAGAAGAACCCCCUGAGGACUGAGCCUUUUCCCCUCUGGUGCCUGGGGUCGGAGCUGCCUGAGCAGGGUGUGCUGGGCUCCCUCUUGCCCUUCCCUGUCUCCAGACCCGUGCCAGGCCCAUUUGGGGGUGCCCAGUGUCACUGCGGACACCAGCACAGCAGUGUCCUGGCCAUUUUGGGCUGCUGUCGAAGCUCAUCCUGCUGUGCGUGGGCUACACGGGCUCCAGAGACACGCUCUUGUGGGGAGAAGGUGGCACUGAGACCGACCCCAGGGCUGCUCCAAGGUACCCAGGGCUUCUCAGCCAUUUGUCUCACCAACACGGGCAGGACAAGGGUGGUCUACAGGCAAAGAUGGUCUGCAGGGUCUGAACAUCCCUCCACAGCUUGGGAGGAAACUGAGUCUUGUCAACUUCUUCUGGAGGGGCAGAGAGGCUGUGGGGUUGGGCUGAGCUAGGGUACCACGACAGAGGGAAGAAGGAAGAGGCCACAUGAGCCCAUCCCACUGCAGAAGAGCUCAAGUGUGAUAGAAAUGUCCAGACUGUGUAAAUUCUCCCAGCGCGGUGCUUACCCUCAGUGCUCAGUAAACAAACAACAAUAAAACAAUGCAGAUGUUUUGUGCAUAAGGUAAUAGAGUGGUAGGUCUCUUGAGUCAAAUCUGGAAGCAGUUUAACCAGGCUCCUUGGAGCAGUGGCUCUGUGUUGCAGAGCACCAUGGUGCUAUUCACAUGAUUUUUAAUGCAAUAAAAUUACACAAUAAUGCAAUACAAUAAUAAUAAAUUAGAACAGAGACAGUUCUCAGACAUAGCAAAUGAGGAAAGGCAAGGUUUCACUCUUGCAAUCCCAACUCAUCCAUAACCCUAGGCAAAAUACUAGAUUUUUCAAAGCAGCCUUGCUAUUAUUAUAUUUUUCUUUCUUUCAUGUGCCUUUUUAGGCCACUCUGGAAUAAUAGUUCUCUUUGGGAAAACAGCAUCCCUGUGCUUUGCUUCCCUCACUAGUGAAUGCUGCAGAGGGAAUUAUAACUCUACCACUGCACAUGAGAAAAUCAGACACUGUGCUGAUUUGUGUAGUAUUAAAUUUGGGCUUUGCAAUUCAUUUUCCCAAGGUCCAGCAGGGAUCACUCAGCAGGCAAUAGGUGCUGUCUCUGUCCUGGGAGACAAGAUAGGAAAUGUGAAUUCCUGAGAGCACAAACCCAGUGAAGAGCUGGCAAAAUGUACUUGCAGCCCAGCUACAGGGCAGCCAACAGCCCUUGGAGCUCCUUGUCCCGGGGAGUUAGAGCCCUUUGCUUUUCCUGCUUGGUCUCUGCCAGCAGUGGGAACUCCUCGAUGCCAUUCCCCAGAGCAAUGGGGAACCUGUCAGCUCACAAUCCCAGUACCAUGGCCUUCACAUCCAGAGAGACACUCUCCCACCCUCCCUCCCUUCCUGGUCCCUAAAAUGUCUCUAUCUCAAGGAAAAGCUUUUUAGCACAUCAGCAGUCAUGUUCAAAUUCCAAGGCUAAGCACAGAGCCUGGGAGAGAGAGAGGGGCAAAAAAAAAAAAUCAGGUGCUUCUCAAAAACAAUCAACCUGAUUCACAUGCAGCUCAGCAGCUUUUUUGAUGGCUCAAUUCCAGAUUUCACAGCUAUUCAAUAGUUCUCUUGUGUAGCUGAUCCUUGUCUUAGAAUUCAGCACAACUCAAUCCAUUUUCCCUUUUCUUUCUAUAAACACCCCCCUCCUCCUCUUCCCCUCCCUUCUUUUUCUUGAUUUACAUCUCUAGGGAGAUGGGAAUGUGAGGGAGAAGCUUGUAGCCUUCCUUCCUGGGGGGCCUUGAACUGGUGUCCCCUGUCUCAGGUUCCCAUUGUCCCCUCUGCACAAGCCGCAGCCCCUCUGCACUCCAGCCCUACUCAAUUGGAAUUUAAAUGCUUCAUGAUUGUUGUCUCACAGAAUAGGAAAGUGCUGCAUUAAAGAGUAAAUUACAGCAGACAAGUAACUGCCUUGGGAAGGAGUGUGAAAGGAGAGAUGAGACCAGCACAAUGGCCGUUUGCAAAAGAGGUUUUUUCCAAAGAUGAAACAAUCUUCCUGGUUCGGUCUCCUAAGGAUAAAUAUGAUGUGGACAGCGUAGAUAUGGGGCUUUGUCUGGGAAGAGAAGUGCAGCAUGCUCAGGCCAGAACAGGCCCACGAUGUGCAUCCUGGGCUCAGAUAUGAGCUGUGUCCCAGAGCCAACAGCGUGGCUGGAUCUGGGCCUGACAUCUGGUUUCUUACAUGGGCUCAAUUCGGGCAGUUUAAUGUGGUCCAAAGCACUAAGCAACUUGCAAAGAAAUUAAGAUAAGAAGUUUACUAAUUUCCUUGCUUUUGCUGCUUUCUAAGCACAGGAAAAAUGUUGAGUUUGCUAGUUUGCUCCCACUUAAUGCUGAGACCACCCCAAAGAUCAUCCUCCUUUCCUUAGCCCCUCUGGUGAUGACCAUUUGUUGUUUAAACAAUCUCGUUGUGCCAUUGGGACCCUUUCUCCCUUCCCUGUGCUGUAUCUACCUCAGAUCUGCUUCUGCUUAGUCCAGCCUCCACUUUAGUCACCACUAGGACAGCCACAUCAGGCCCUGAGAUAUUUUUCCAGGUGAGGUCUCUAUGAGAGCAAGAUGCUGAGCUGACUCAGCAUGGAGCUAGCAAUACCCUUAGCAAAGGAUUGUUUUCUUGCCUGAAGGACAAAUUGUGCCCUGCUAGUAAUAGAAAGCAGCCUGUGUCUUCUUAUGAGUUACAAGGGUGCUUGCAACUACAUUGCUCAUUUGUGUAAGAUGGGGUUUCUCCACCAGGAGUGGCAGAAAAGAAAGGCUUUGACACUUGAGGAAAGCACAGGGAACUGUUAAAAUUAUGAUUAGCAUUCAUCCAGAGCAUCUGAGGGAGAAACAAAAAUGAAUUAGUCUCAGUGGCUCAGCCACAGUGCCAAGAUCAGAACAGAGACCAGUCACACAAAAAGGGAGCAAAAUUCAAGUAUUUACCCUUGAGAGAUAUUGAUGACAUCUGUCUCCUUAACAUUUUAGUCACCUUUGCAGAGCCUGUCAUAUUAAUAGAGGAUUCAUGAAUUAAACCAGCCAGGUGGUGUAAAGCAUAGGUCAUAGAAGUCCUAGGAAAAGCAUCAAAAAUGGCAUGUUCACUGAGACAAGAGAAAAAAAGAUCAGGAGAUUUUCUCUCCCCUUUGCUCAACAGCAUAUGCCUUUCAAACUGUUCAUUGAAAUAAGGUGCCACGGACACACAGGAAAAUAAUGCACAAAUAUGAUUAAAAAAUGAAAAAGCCUCAAUGUGCACACACACAGAGGCAAGCAGGCAGGCACACAGUCCUUCCUACUCCAAGAUCAUAGUGUAUGCUUUCCCCCGAGCCGGCUCCGAGUGGCUCCUGUUUAAUUACUCCUCUGGAACCACUGGAGAAAAGGCUGUGCCAACAAUUCUUUUUUUUUUUUCUUCAUUUGAAACUACAUGUGAGAAAUGCCCCUUGGCUCAAUGUUGAAAAUUAAUGUCUCACUGCUGAAAUAUUUUUUCUUACUUUUUUUUCUCUGUUUUUUUAUUUAGUGAUCAUUCUGAAACGAGCUUUUCAGAUGGCCUUCACCAGGACUCUGAUACUUCUUGUCUUUGCAUGUUGUGAACCCCAAUAUUGUGAUAAAAUUGGAAUGAACACAACCUAUUGUUCACAGUGAGAAUAUUCUGUAUUUCACUUAGAAUUGGGUCUACUUUUGGCGUCUACAACCAAGUGCUCUGCAAAGCAUAUCAGGAUUUACCAAAGUCCCACAGAAGUGACAGCAUUUUGUCCUUUUACAUCCAACUCUACAUCACGUGGAGCUCUGCUGGGAGGCCACAGGUGAGGAACCUCCUCCAAGUAUGUGGUGAGCCAUGCUUUUCCAAGAAGACAUGGAUCAGGACAGGAGCCAGCCAGGAGAUGAUCUAGGGAUGUAGUAGGGACAGAUCCAGCAGCCCUCACUUGUACAUGCCCGUCUGGAAAUCAGUGGGAGCUCUGCCUGCAUGGGAAAGAGCUGCAGGACCACGAUCAGGAGUGACUAACAUGAAAUAAGGCUCCCCACUUCGGUCUGGGAGAGGCCAGAAAAACACGGGCCACAACAUGGUGCACAUUUUGCAAGUGACACUUGGUGUUAGCCAAAAUAUACAUCAGUACCAAGGAGGCGUGUGGUAAAAGGCACAUUCCUUUAACACACUAUUACUGUAAUAUCCCGGUGCCUCCACAUUAAUUUGUUCCCAGGAAAUUCCAUCAUCACUAUUUCGAGCUUGUGGCUGUUCAAGACACUCAGGAUGAUGGGAAAUUACCCUAUUCAGGAAAACAGAAUAAUAAAAGCAGUGAUUAAGUUUGCCUUUAUCCUUAGUCUGCACACCCUUAUCAAUCUCUGGUGAAAUAUUUUUUAGUAUAGAAAGAUUCCAAUUAUGUUCUUAAUAAACUUUGAAAAAUCA